rnacentral:rRNA from 1 species
UGGGGAAUAUUGCGCAAUGGGGGAAACCCUGACGCAGCAACGCCGCGUGGAGGAAGAAGGUAUUCGUAUUGUAAACUCCUGUCUUUUGGGACGAAGAAAUGACGGUACCAAAGGAGGAAGCCACGGCUAACUACGUGCCAGCAGCCGCGGUAAUACGUAGGUGGCAAGCGUUGUCCGGAAUUAUUGGGCGUAAAGGGCGCGUAGGCGGCUUAAUAAGUCAGAUGUGAAACCCCGGGGCUUAACUCCGGAAUGGCAUUUGAAACUGUUGAGCUUGAGUGCAGGAGAGGAAAGCGGAAUUCCUAGUGUAGCGGUGAAAUGCGUAGAUAUUAGGAGGAACACCAGUGGCGAAGGCGGCUUUCUGGACUGUAACUGACGCUGAGGCGCGAAAGCGUGGGGAGCAAACA